UACGGAGGGGGCAAGCGUUAUUCGGAAUCAUUGGGCGUAAAGGGCGCGUAGGCGGCUUGGCAAGUCAAAGGUGAAAUCCCUCGGCCUAACCGAGGAACUGCCUUUGAAACUGCUUGGCUUGAGGCCGGGAGAGGGUAGCGGAAUUCCCAGUGUAGCGGUGAAAUGCGCAGAUAUCAGGAGGAACACCGGUGGCGAAGGCGGGUCUCUGGGCCAUUACUGACGCUGAGGAGCGAAAGCGUGGGGAGCGAACAGG
rnacentral:rRNA from 1 species